GAUCGGGCCCUCGGUCGGCUGCAGUUCCAACGGGAGUGGAGCCGCCUCCAGCUCUGGCAUGCCCAGGUACCCACCUCUGGACCUGGCUGAGGAGACCUGUAUUUCCAUCUCUUGGGGAGAAACUCCUUAAGUGGCCACAUGGGACAGACAGGAACCAAGCCCUAAACUUGUUUCUGACUGUUUCCUCCUAGAUAAUGGCCUCAGGAACCCCUGUGUGCUUGGAGAAUUACCCUGGAGACAGAUUCUACGGAGCAGGCACCACAGCUCUCGGGGACAGGACGGCUGCCUGCCCCAUCUUGGUCCCUUUCCUGAACGGCCUCACUGCUGCGCUAAUGAGGGCUCAAGGCCACGGUCCCGGGCUGAGGGAUCAGAGGCCAGGAGCAGGUAAGGCCGAUCACUAGCCAGUCUAAUGUUCCCUCCUGCUGCCAGUCCUUGUCAGGUUUUGAUCAGUCCUCAUACUACAAGCAGGGCUUCAGGCUCCAUAGAAGCAUAGCCACAGAAGGUUCUUUAGGAAGCACAUGGAGAAACCAAACAUACUAUUUAUUGCCAUGUAAUAAAUUACCUCAAAAUGCCAUGGUUUAAAACACACACACACACACACACACACACACAGUUUCUAUGGCUUGAGAAUCUCUGUAUGGUUAGCUAGGUGCCAGGUCUCAGGGUCUCACACAGGCAGGGUGCCUGCCAGAGCCGAGCCAGCUAGGCUUGACGGGGGAUAUUUGCUUCCGAGUUGCUUCUUGUGGCUCGGAGGAUCUCAAGCCUUCAGUAGCUAUUACCCAGAGAGUAGUUCCUGUCUUAAAGACUUCACAGGACAGCAAACAACAAGACAGCUGACCUCCAAAGAAACAAGCAGGAGCAUAAGAGAGGGAAGCAAGAGGAAAGCCAUGGCCACUCUAUGUCUCAACCUCGGGAGUGACAUCCCAUCCCUUUCGCUAUAUCCAAUUAAUUGGAAGCACAUCACUAGGUGUAAGCCACACCUGGGGAAGGAAUUAAACCGCAGCACGGAUACACACGAGGGCAUCCUCCUAGAGCCUUGCUUUGAUCGCACUCUUACCCCUCACUCUGACAGCUGCUGUCUUCCCUUCUGUUCAGAUGCAGACAAAGACGUCAUCACCUGGACUUCACGGUUCUUCUCUAUCCUGAAGGAAACAGGCGCCUGGUCCCAAGUCCACAAGGAAGGAGAUGAAGUGCAAAAACAAGCACAUCACAACCCAAGCAGCCUCUCCUGCCCUGCUGGCCCAUGCUUAGACUCAUCAAGGGGGAAUGAAGGCUUUUUGCAGGAUCUCCUUAAGCCUCAGACAAUGCAGAAGGAAGAGCUGAUAAUUGUGCAACCCACAGACCUCUCAGCCAGGGAGUUUGUGGUUUACCAGUAUGGUCUCUCCAUCCUGCACCUCCUCAUCCCCCAGCUGCAUGUAAGUCUGGCUUGUGGCCUCUUUGUGGAGCAGCUGCCCAUGGGGCAGGCACCCCUGAACCCUAGAAAGCCAGGGUAG
rnacentral:lncRNA from 1 species